rnacentral:rRNA from 1 species
GAAAUAGAACCUGAAACCGUGUGCCUACAACAAGUUCGAGCCCGUUAAUGGGUGAGAGCGUGCCUUUUGUAGAAUGAACCGGCGAGUUACGAUAUGAUGCGAGGUUAAGUUGAAGAGACGGAGCCGUAGGGAAACCGAGUCUUAAUAGGGCGUCAUAGUAUCAUGUUGUAGACCCGAAACCAUGUGACCUACCCAUGAGCAGGUUGAAGGUGAGGUAAAACUCACUGGAGGACCGAACCAGGGCACGUUGAAAAGUGCUUGGAUGACUUGUGGGUAGCGGAGAAAUUCCAAACGAACUUGGAGAUAGCUGGUUCUCUCCGAAAUAGCUUUAGGGCUAGCGUCGAUGUUAAGUCUCUUGGAGGUAGAGCACUGUUUGGGUGAGGGGUCCAUCCCGGAUUACCAAUCUCAGAUAAACUCCGAAUGCCAACGAGAUAUAAUCGGCAGUCAGACUGCGAGUGCUAAGAUCCGUAGUCGAAAGGGAAACAGCCCAGACCACCAGCUAAGGUCCCAAAAUAUAUGUUAAGUGGAAAAGGAUGUGGGGUUGCACAGACAACUAGGAUGUUAGCUUAGAAGCAGCUAUUCAUUCAAAGAGUGCGUAAUAGCUCACUAGUCGAGUGACCCUGCGCCGAAAAUGUACCGGGGCUAAAACAUAUUACCGAAGCUGUGGAUGACACAAAAGUGUCAUGGUAGGAGAGCGUUCUAUGUGUGAAGAAGGUGUACCGUGAGGAGCGCUGGAACGCAUAGAAGUGAGAAUGCCGGUAUGAGUAGCGCAAGACAGGUGAGAAUCCUGUCCACCGUAAGACUAAGGUUUCCAGGGGAAGGCUCGUCCGCCCUGGGUUAGUCGGGACCUAAGGAGAGACCGAAAGGUGUAUCCGAUGGACAACAGGUUGAUAUUCCUGUACUAGAGUAUAUAGUGAUGGAGGGACGCAGUAGGCUAACUAAACCAGACGAUUGGAAGUGUCUGGUCAAACAGUGAGGUGUGAUAUGAGUCAAAUGCUUAUAUCUUUAACAUUGAGCUGUGACGAGGAGCGAAGUUUAGUAGCGAAGUUAGUGAUGUCACACUGCCAAGAAAAGCUUCUAGCGAUACAUAUACUCUACCCGUACCGCAAACCGACACAGGUAGUCGAGGCGAGUAGCCUCAGGUGAGCGAGAGAACUCUCGUUAAGGAACUCGGCAAAAUGGCCCCGUAACUUCGGGAGAAGGGGCGCUGAUUUUAGAUCAGCCGCAGUGAAUAGGCCCAAGCAACUGUUUAUCAAAAACACAGCUCUCUGCUAAAUCGUAAGAUGAUGUAUAGGGGGUGACGCCUGCCCGGUGCUGGAAGGUUAAGAGGAGUGCUUAGCGUAAGCGAAGGUAUGAAUUGAAGCCCCAGUAAACGGCGGCCGUAACUAUAACGGUCCUAAGGUAGCGAAAUUCCUUGUCGGGUAAGUUCCGACCCGCACGAAAGGCGUAAUGAUUUGGGCACUGUCUCAACGAGAGACUCGGUGAAAUUUUAGUACCUGUGAAGAUGCAGGUUACCCGCGACAGGACGGAAAGACCCCAUGGAGCUUUACUGCAGUUUGAUAUUGAGUAUCUGUACCACAUGUACAGGAUAGGUAGGAGCCUAUGAUAACGGGACGCCAGUUUCGUUUGAGGCGUUGUUGGGAUACUACCCUUGUGUUAUGGCUACUCUAACCCAGAUAGGCAAUCCCUAUCGGAGACAGUGUCUGACGGGCAGUUUGACUGGGGCGGUCGCCUCCUAAAAGGUAACGGAGGCGCCCAAAGG